AUAAGCUUACUGAAAAUCUCGAGGUUAAAAAAGCUGUCACAGACAUGACCAUCAUUUCAAAAAUAUAGAACAUUUCAACACCACAGGAUUACCAUCUGGCCCAGCAAUCACAUUACUGGGUAUAUACCCAAAGGAAAAUAAACUGUUCUACCAAAAAGACACAUGUACUCACAUGUUUAUCAGCACUAUUUAGAACAGCAAAGAGACUGAACCUGGGAGACGGAGGUUGCAGUGAGCCUGGAUUGUGCCACUGCACUCCAGCCUGAGCAACAGAGUGACAGUCCAUCUCAAAAAAAAAAAAAAAAAAGCAAAAA